rnacentral:lncRNA from 1 species
UGAGAUUUUUCUUCGGUCCCCUUUUCUUCUCUGAGAGCUUUGUCCUCCUCCAGCAUCCCUCUAGGUCUUAGACGCCCUUCAGGUCGACUUUCAUCGCCUUUACUGCCCUCCUGCACCUCUCGAACCAGCCUAGGUUAGUUCUGGAACCCUUCUUUUUCUUGCUGUUCUUUCAUUUUUUAUCCUCUGGAUUUCGCCCAUUCGGUUUCUCUGCGAGUGCCUUGUUUCCUAUUUUUUUCAAUUUUUUUGAGAUUUUUUGGGGUUCUCAUUUGAUUCAAAAUAUCCUCCAACACUUCCUCCUCUAGCAGUUCUAGAAGUUCGUCAACUCCAGCCCCCCA